UUGAUCUCAAAUCAGGUAGGACUACCCGCUGAACUUAAGCAUAUCAAUAAGCGGAGGAAAAGAAACUAACAAGGAUUCCCCUAGUAACUGCGAGUGAAGCGGGAAGAGCUCAAAUUUAAAAUCUGGCGUGCCUCUGGCCGUCCGAGUUGUAGUCUGGAGAAGCGUUUUCCCGUGUUGGACCGUGUAUAAGUCUCUUGGAACAGGGCGUCAUAGAGGGUGAGAAUCCCGUCUUUGACACGGACUACCAAUGCUUUGUGAUG
rnacentral:rRNA from 1 species